rnacentral:rRNA from 1 species
AUUGAACGCUGGCGGCAGGCUUAACACAUGCAAGUCGAGCGGGGUGAUGGUGCUUGCACUAUCACUUAGCGGCGGACGGGUGAGUAAUGCUUAGGAAUCUGCCUAUUAGUGGGGGAUAACAUCUCGAAAGGGAUGCUAAUACCGCAUACGUCCUACGGGAGAAAGCAGGGGAUCACUUGUGACCUUGCGCUAAUAGAUGAGCCUAAGUCGGAUUAGCUAGUUGGUGGGGUAAAGGCCUACCAAGGCGACGAUCUGUAGCGGGUCUGAGAGGAUGAUCCGCCACACUGGGACUGAGACACGGCCCAGACUCCUACGGGAGGCAGCAGUGGGGAAUAUUGGACAAUGGGGGGAACCCUGAUCCAGCCAUGCCGCGUGCGUGAAGAAGGCCUUAUGGUUGUAAAGCACUUUAAGCGAGGAGGAGGCUCUUUUGGUUAAUACCCAAGAUGAGUGGACGUUACUCGCAGAAUAAGCACCGGCUAACUCUGUGCCAGCCGCCGCGGUAA